GUGACGCCUGGUUAUGAGAUAUCGUCACUCAGUAGAGUGGCAUGAGUUGCUACCGCUCGAUUUAGGUGGUAGUGACGCCUGGUUUUGAGAUAUCGUCGCUCAGUAGAGUGGCAUGAGUUACUAUCGCUCGUUUAGGUGAUAGUAACGACCGACGUGUAAAGAGUAAUUAGAUUUUCAAGUUUGGUUGUUUAUAGUGUGUGAAUACUGGUCAAUGGUCCGUGUAUUGUUAGUUGAUUUAUCAUGAUGUAAUGUGAGCUCGUGUAGAGUCACAAGUAGAGCUCGUGUAGAGUCACAAGUAGAGCUCGUGUAGAGUCACAAGUAGAGCUCGUGUAGAGUCACAAGUAGAGCUCGUGUAGAGUCACAAGUAGAGCUCGUGUAGAGUCACAAGUAGAGCUCGUGUAGAGUCACAAGUAGAGCUCGUGUAGAGUCACAAAUAGAGCUCGUGUAGAGCUCAUGCAGAGUCCUAUAUAGAGUCUCAUGUUAGGUCAGGAAUGACCGAGCGAACUUGGAUAAUGUGCUGUGGUAUAUUGUUUCAGAUUAACACACGAGGACGUGUGUCACGCAGGAUGGCCGUGUCGGAUUAGUUAUGAAUUAAGAAGAGAAAUUGAUCAAAUCGGAAAAUAAAAUGAAGUUACGUCACUUCCGUCAUGAAGUUGCAACGCUCCGACGAAAGGUGGUGUACGAGCAGAGCGGAGUGAAGUCGGGAGUCACUACAGAGUCGUCGUGUCGAGCGGACGUGCACUGCCGUUCUAGUCGGGCAGUCUACCGCGAACCUUCGUCGUGAACGGACGUGUCGAAUAAUUACGAUCGGAACGUGGAGUGCUAUAGUCGCUCACCUAUAACUUGUAGGGACGUCAAGAAAGUGUGAUCGGAAAAGAGCACCUAGCAAGUACGUUCACAUGUCCCGAUGAUUCGGUCCGAAUGUUGGAACCAUGGGUGGUGGAGGGCCCCUUCGCGCUAACGUCCUUAUGCGCGCUAGAUAACGAGAGACUGUGUAACCGUUACGAAUACCGUGACGUUGCCGUGAGUGUGUACCUUAUGCUGUGACUUUAUUUAAUCGUGAUACAAAAACUAUGUGGAAGUAAAUAAAAUGAUUGUGAUACU